rnacentral:lncRNA from 1 species
UUUAGACACGCAUCAAUCAAGAUAAGCAUCUAUCAAGAUCCUCAUUGCUUGCUGUAUUUCCUUAAUCUGUGUAAUUAUAAACAUAUCAGUUAGUAUAUGAAUCACUAACGAUAAUAUUGGACAGAUUUUCUAAAUAUUAUCAUUGAAACAUCUAACUUGAUCUCAAUGCCUAGAAUAUAGUAACUGUCUAUAUUUUAUCAACAGAUCAAUAUUACUUGAUCAAUGGCGUAUCUGCCAUUUAAUUUUUAAAAGGCUAUUUCAGUAUGAAGUUCAUUGUUUAUCAGAAGAACCAUUUUGCUUAAACUCGCUGUUUUUCUUUUGUUUGCAAAUAUGAAAAAAAAACCAGACUACCCUCUUUUAGACUUGAACUCUUCACCUACACCAGCUAAAAGAUCCCGUGUUACUCAAACUCCAACAUCGCAGAGCCAAAUUACUCAAACUACUAGCUCUAAGCCUAACUACCCUCUUAUAGAUUUGAAUUUCUCACCUAAAACAGCUAAAACAGUCCAGUUUGGUCAAACUCCAACAUCGCAGAACCAAAUUACUCAAGCUACUGGCUCUAAACAAUUCUAUCCUCUUAUAGACUUGAACUCUUCUCCUAAACCAGCUAAAAGAUCACGUGUUAUUCAGACUCCAACACCGCAGAGCCAAAUUACUCAAGCUACUGUCUUUAACACAAAUGGUGUUGUCCCUCUAAAAUCAGCCUUUAGCAGAGUGUUUAGAGAUAUUACCAAUCUUCCUUGCAGAAAUGCUGAAACAAGUAAGACCCCAAGGAGUCCGCAGCAAUCAUUAUCUUCAAAACAUACACGACAACCACUUGGUCCUGCUCUUCCUACCUCAUGCUUACGCAAACUGUCAGACUGUACUCCUGUUCCACAAGAAAAUAACUGCCAUAUCAGAAAUUUACAAGACGCCUUUGCUAAUGCAUCAUUUUCUCCUUCAGACAAAGGUAGCAUACAUUUCUUAAGUUACUGUCUUAGUUUUCAGAGUUUUACCAAUCUACUAUCUAAAUACAUUACUUAAUUAUAUAUGUUUUUGUACUAUCUAGGCAAAGGAAAAGAACCAGUACUGCCAACCUUAACAGAUUGUAGCACUGAUGAUGAAAGUAUGGAGCAUAUUAAUUAUAUUGGAAUGAAUGACAGUGAAUCUGAUGGAACACAAGACUACUCUGUUAGCAGCACAGAAGAUGAAGUUGAAGAAGGUUACUCGGCUCCUGUUCAGGAACCUUCUACUGAACAUAUAUUUAAUUCUCCACAACAAGUUAUUGACUUGAGUAGUUCAGCGGAUGAAUCAAGAGAAGAAUUAACUACUCCUACUGUAAGUGUUACUAGGAAAAGUGUAGAAAGGAAAGCAGUGACUCAAAAUAAAAAUCUACCUAAGAAAAUAGGUAGGCCAAGAUUGGCUUUCCCCUCGAAAAGGGCAGCAGCAAAAGCAAAAAAAACAGGUUAGAACUUAAGAAUAUAAUACAUAAUAGACAUUUAUUUGCAAACCUCAACAUAUAGCAUCCUUUGUUGCGUACAUAUUACUAACACUCUAUUUUUCCUUUAGGAUAUCUUGAUCAUGGUGAUCCUACAUACACGUGUAAGUAUUGUGGUGCUUUGAUGUGGUUUGAUGAGCGCAUAAACAAAAGAAACAGUAGUAAGGAUCCAACAUUUACUCUAUGUUGUGGGCAAGGCAGUGUGAAAUUGCCAUUUCUCAAGGAAUCACCAGAGCUUAUUAAAAAGCUUCUUAAAGGAACAGAUGCAAUUAGUAGAAAUUUCAGAGAGAAUUUAAGGACUUAUAAUAUGCUCUUCGCAAUGACCUCCCUUGGUGGGAAGGUAGAUAAAUCUAUGCCUAAAGGUAAAGGACCUGCAAUGUUUCGAUUGCAAGGAGGAAACUAUCAUCAAAUUGGGGGAUUAAAACCUGCUGCUGGUGAUUAUGCUAAGUAUUCACAACUUUAUAUAGUUGAUACUGAAUCUGAAGUUGAUCAGAGAGCUACUGUCAUCGGGUAAGAGUUAUAAUAGUAUUCAAAAACAUUGCAGAUUUACUGUUAUAUUAACUUCGAUACUAUAUUCAGCUGUAGUUAUCUAACUCUGUGUCUUCUUAUGGUCAUUACAGGAAGGGUAAAAAUCUAAAGUCUACCUCUUGGAAAAAAAAACUGAACAAGGAACUGAUUGAAGCAAUAAUAAAAAUGCUGAAUGAAUCAAACCCUUAUGUCAAGAAAUUCAGGUCUGCAAGAGAGAGGUUUCAAUCUAAUGAUGAUGAACCAUUUCAUAUGCGGAUUGUUGCUGAUCGUCAAGGUGUUGAUGGGAGGCAAUACAGUAUGCCUACAGCUGGAGAGGUUGCAGCUUUGAUCCCUGGUGAUUUCAUUCCUGACAUGCCAGUUCGUGAUAUAAUUCUAGAAAAAUCCUCAAAUGGACGCCUAAAGAGGAUAAGCCAGAUUCAUAUUUCCUAUUUGGCUCUACAAUACCCUCUAAUAUUUUGCUAUGGUGAAGAUGGUUACAGGCCUGGUAUUGAGAAGUGUUACAAAUCAAGCAACAACAAGAAGAAAAAGUGUAUAAGUAUGAGACAGUGGUUUGCUUUCCGCAUUCAAGAGAGGGAAAAUGAGUGUCAUACUCUGCUUGAAUCAAAGAGGUUGUUCCAACAGUUUCUGUGUGAUGCAUAUACAACUAUUGAAUCAAACCGCCUCUCUUAUAUCAAGUUUAAUCAGUCUAAGCUACGAUGUGAGAAUUUUAACUCCAUUAAAGCAGCUGCUAACUCUGGAACCAAAGAUAUGGCUGAAGAAGGAAAUCAGAUUCUUAUUCCAGCAUCUUUCACUGGUGGACCUAGAUAUAUGAUCCAAAGCUAUUACGAUGCUAUGGCUAUCUGUAAGCGUUAUGGUUUCCCAGAUCUUUUCAUCACCUUUACAUGUAAUCCUAAGUGGCCUGAGAUUACAAGAUAUUGUGAAGCAAGAGGGUUAACUGCUGAUGAUAGACCGGACAUCGUGGCGAGGAUAUUCAAAAUGAAAUUGGAUUCUCUGAUGAAAGACUUAACAGAAAGAAAAAUGCUUGGAAAGACAGCUGCAUGUAAGUUUUUCAUUUUACUCUGUCGGUUUUAUAGUUUAAGAAUACAGAAAAUGCUAUUUGUUUUUCCUAACUAUUGCUUUUUUUCCUCUUCCAGCUAUGUAUACUGUUGAAUUCCAGAAAAGAGGAUUGCCUCAUGCUCACAUCCUCUUAUUUAUGGAUGUUAAUAGUAAACUGCCAACAGCUGACGACAUUGACAAGAUCAUAUCUGCAGAAAUUCCAGACAAAGAAAAAGAACCGGAGCUAUAUGAAGUUAUCAAAAACUCUAUGAUUCAUGGACCAUGUGGCUCAGCGAAUCCAAAUUCUCCGUGUAUGGUUGAUGGCCAGUGUUCUAAGCUAUACCCAAAAAAACAUCAAGAGAUCACUAAGGUUGGUAGUGAUGGUUAUCCUGUCUAUAGGAGGAGGCUCACAGAAGCUUAUAUUGAGAAAGGUGAUGUUAAAUGUGACAAUAGGUACGUUGUCCCUUAUAAUAAGAAGCUCUCUCUUCGAUAUAAUGCUCAUAUCAACGUGGAAUGGUGCAAUCAAAAUGGUUCUAUCAAAUACUUAUUUAAGUAUAUAAACAAAGGACCAGAUAUGGUUACAGUGAUCGUUGAGCCUAUAAAUCAGCCAACAACAGGUGAAACAGCAAGUGGUUCUACAGCAACUGGUUCUACAGCAACUGGUGAUACAACAACUACAGCUCAAGAACCAGAUUCAAAUGAGAAAAAGAAGGAUGAAAUAAAAGAUUGGUUUGACUGCAGGUAUGUUAUUAACUUAGUAUUAUGUAAAUUAGAAAGUUUUUAUCCUGUUACAAUUUUCUGGAAUUCAGUUUUUGUAUGUCUAUAGAUAUGUAUCAGCUUCAGAGGCGGUUUGGAGAAUUUUCAAAUUUCCUAUUCAACACAGAUCAACCCCAGUCUUGAAAUUAUCUUUUCAUGUGGAAGGAAAGCAACCAAUAUAUUUCGAUCCAAAGUCACAAAUAGCAGAUGUUCUAGAUCGUGUAUCCAAUGAAGAUUCUCAGUUUAUGGCUUGGUUGACAUUGAAUAGAAAAAAUGCAGUCGGAAAGAAUGGAAAGCGUGCAAGAGAGUGUCUAUAUGCGGAAAUACCAGCCUAUUUUACUUGGGAUGGAAAGAAUAAGCAGUUUAAGAAGAGAUCUAGAGGCUGGGCUUUGGGUCGUAUUAAUUAUGUCCCAAGGAAAAUGGAAGAUGAAUACUAUCUUCGAGUACUGCUCAACAUAGUUAGAGGUCCACAGACUUAUGAUGACAUAAAAACAUAUCAAGGUGUGGUUUAUCCAACUUACAAGGAAGCAUGUUUCGCACGUGGCAUAUUAGAUGAUGAUCAAGUCUACAUUGAUGGUCUGAUUGAAUUAGGUCAGCAUAGUUUUGCUCCUGUUUUGAGGAAUUUUUUUUCAAUGCUGCUUCUAUCUAUGUCUCUAGCAAGACCAGAACAUGUUUGGUCAGAAACAUGGCAUCUAUUAGCUGAAGAUAUCCUGGCUAAGAAGAAAUUAGAGUACAAGAAUCCAGGUUUUAGAAUACGCUUCUCUAAUUUUUAAAUGUUGUUUUCAGUACAAUUUUUAAAUCGCCUGUUUUACCUUCCACACUACUAUUUGCAGAACUUACACUCACAGAAGCUCAAAUAAAGAACUACACGCUUCAGGAGAUAGAGAAAAUUAUGUUGUUCAAUGGAGGAACUCUAGAAGAUUUUGAACAUUUCCCUAAGCCUACAAGAGAGGGAAUUGAUAAUUCAAACCGUCUUAUUGUUGAUGAGUUGAGAUAUAACAUUGAAUCCAACUUGGAAGAACAGCAUGCAGAGUGGAGAGAUAAGCUAACUCCUGAACAGAGAGGUGUAUACAAUGAGAUAACCGGGGCAGUUUUCAAUGGUUUAGGUGGAGUUUUCUUUGUUUACGGCUCUGGAGGAACAGGGAAAACAUUUAUUUGGAAGACACUAGCUGCGGCUAUUAGGUCUAAAGGUCUAAUAUGUCUUAAUGUCGCCUCAAGUGGCAUUGCUUCUUUGUUGUUGGAAGGAGGAAGAACAGCACAUUCAAGGUUUUCUAUUCCAUUGAAUCCUGAUGAGUUUUCUGUUUGCAAGAUCAAAGCUAAAUCAGAUUUAGCAGAUUUGAUUAAAGAAACAUCUCUCAUAAUCUGGGAUGAAGCGCCAAUGAUGAGCAAGUUUUGUUUCGAAGCUUUAGAUAAAAGCUUCUGUGAUAUUAUCAAACACGCAGAGAACAAGGUAUUUGGUGGAAAGGUUGUUGUAUUUGGAGGUGAUUUUAGACAAGUACUUCCAGUUAUUACUAAUGCUGGUAGAGCAGAAAUUGUUAUGUCAUCUCUAAAUUCUUCAUACCUUUGGGAUCACUGCAAAGUUUUAAAGUUGACCAAGAACAUGCGACUUCUAAACAACAGUUUAAGUGCUCAGGAAGCUAAAGAAAUACAAGAAUUCUCAGAUUGGUUGUUGGCUGUUGGUGAUGGUAGGAUCAAUGAGCCUAAUGAUGGUGAGGUUGUGAUAGAUAUUCCUGAAGAUUUGCUGAUUACAGAAGCAGACAAUCCAAUAGAAGCAAUUACUAGGGAAAUUUAUGGAGAUCCAACUAAACUUCAUGAAAUCCGUGAUCCUAAAUUCUUUCAAAUGAGAGCUAUUUUAGCACCAAAGAAUGAUGAUGUCAACACAAUCAAUCAGUAUAUGCUUGAGCAUUUGGAUAGUGAGUAUACUUUAACUCUUACCUAUUUACUUUCUUAUUAUAUAGCUUUGUUGCUAAGUUGUUACUGUUGUAACUAAUCAUAACCCAUUUAUUCUACAGGUCCAGAAAGAAUUUAUCUAUCUGCUGAUAGUAUAGAUCCUUCAGAUUCUGAUGCUCUUAACAAUCCUGUUAUUACUCCAGAUUUCUUAAACAGUAUCAAGGUUUCAGGUUUGCCUAAUCAUUCUUUGCGUUUAAAGAUUGGUGCUCCUGUUAUGUUGCUUAGGAAUAUAGAUCCUAAAGGAGGCCUUUGCAACGGGACUAGACUUCAGAUUACGCAGCUAUUAAAUCAGAUUGUGGAAGCAAGAGUUAUAACAGGAGACAGGAUUGGUGAUAUCGUUUUUAUUCCUCUCAUAAACAUUACACCUUCAGACACCAAACUGCCAUUCAAGAUGCGUAGAAGACAGUUUCCACUAUCUGUUGCAUUUGCUAUGACUAUCAAUAAGAGUCAGGGGCAAUCUCUUGAACGAGUUGGACUUUACUUGCCUAAACCAGUCUUCUCUCAUGGCCAACUAUAUGUUGCGUUGUCUAGAGUGACUUCUAAAAAAGGUUUGAGAAUACUAAUACUCAACAAAGAAGGGAAGAUUGAGAAGAAAACAACGAAUGUUGUUUUCAAGGAAGUUUUCCAAAACAUUAACUGAACAAUGUUAUCUACAGAGAAAUUCUGCAAUGAGGUCAGUUGAAUUACCUUUUACUUUUUAUGAUUUAAGUUAUGGUCUGAAAAACCCCUACACACAAUCAUAAUGCAACAUAUAUUUCACUUUCUACUGUAGGAACCUCAUAUCUAAUCAACCAGACAGCUUCAACAUCAAAGAUGCAUUCAUAUCGGAAGUAAAAUGUCAAUUUCCUACUGAACUAUUUGUGGAAGUCAUUUGCAUACUCUAAGUUCUGCAUUUUCCUUUUAAAAUAAAACAAAGAAACUCUUACCACCAAAAAAUUGGUUGUGCUGGGACUAACCUUGCUUUCUGAGGUAGUUGUUGAAUUCUCCUCUUUAUAUUUUUGGCUUCUGUGGACAUCAUCGUCAGAGAUUGUGCUGGAUUUUGGCUCAGUAACCUAGCAUAUUUCAAAAAUAACUUAAAAUUAAUAGUUGCGAUCACUUUUUUAGCUUAUAUCAGAUUUUCAGAAACACAUUAUAUUCUGCGUUUGUCACAACACAGUUGAUUCAUGCCUUUGUAUAAACUACACGCAAUUCUACCAAUUAUUCACCAUCACUAAUUACCUUUUAAACAAAUCUUACGGAAAAUGAUGUUGCCUCAAUCAUCAAUUUCAGAUAAGCACAAACCUUUAGAUUGCUCCGAUUAUGAAUUGAACAAUCGAUUGAGUUUUCUCCUGUACUCCAUUGCUUGAUUACUCACUCGGAUGAUACCAGUCACUUACAUGCAACCACUGAAUUAUACAGAUUCUUCUCGCCGGAGACUUUUAACUUCUACAAUCCAAUCGGAAUUUGAGAGACCUUAUUUGCAAUCC